AUGUGGGAAAUCUUUGCUCAGAUUCUAGGUGUCAUGGCCUCAGAGGGCGUGAUUGACAAAGCAAAGUAUGAUUCGUUCUACGUGCCUGUCUAUGGACCUUGUGACGAAGAGCUGCGGGAGAUCAUCCAAGCAGAGGGCUCCUUUUCGAUCACUGAGAUGCGGGCGCACGACUUCACACGCGGUCGGGACGCCAGUCUCAUCACUGCAGGCUGGUAUGCGAACCAGAUGAGAGCCGCGUUUGAGCCGAUAGUCGUGCAUCAUUUCGAAGAUGUGAUGGAUGAAUUUGUGAGGACCGCGGAGCGGCGCUGGAGCAUGGAGGGAAGCUUGCAGGACGAGGUUGCCAGAUACCCUCGGGCUCAGCUUGUCGCCUCGCUCACCAAGAAAGCAUGA
rnacentral:rRNA from 1 species